rnacentral:rRNA from 1 species
AUUGAACGCUGGCGGCAUGCCUUACACAUGCAAGUCGAACGGCAGCACGGGAGCAAUCCUGGUGGCGAGUGGCGAACGGGUGAGUAAUGUAUCGGAACGUGCCCAGUCGGGGGGGAUAACGUAGCGAAAGCUACGCUAAUACCGCAUACGAGCUAUGGAUGAAAGCGGGGGAUCGCAAGACCCCGCGCGAUUGGAGCGGCCGAUAUCAGAUUAGGUAGUAGGUGGGGUAAAGGCUCACCAAGCCGACGAUCUGUAGCUGGUCUGAGAGGACGACCAGCCACGCUGGGACUGAGACACGGCCCAGACUCCUACGGGAGGCAGCAGUGGGGAAUUUUGGACAAUGGGCGCAAGCCUGAUCCAGCAAUGCCGCGUGCAGGAUGAAGGCCUUCGGGUUGUAAACUGCUUUUGUACGGAGCGAAAAGGCUCUCUCUAAUACAGGGGGCUCAUGACGGUACCGUAAGAAUAAGCACCGGCUAACUACGUGCCAGCCGCCGCAGUAAGAC